rnacentral:rRNA from 1 species
CCUACGGGUGGCUGCAGUAACGAAUCUUCCACAAUGCACGAAAGUGUGAUGGAGCGACGCCGCGUGUGGGACGAAGUUCUUCGGAAUGUAAACCACUGUCAGGGGUUAGAAAGUUCUGAUCAACCCCAGAGGAAGGCACGGCUAACUCUGUGCCAGCAGCCGCGGUAAGACAGAGGUGCCAAGCGUUAGGCGGAAUCACUGGGCUUAAAGCGUGUGUAGGCGGAGUGCUAAGUACCUUGUGAAAUCCCACGGCUCAACCGUGGAACUGCUCGGUAUACUGGUUCUCUUGGGCCACUUAGGGGCUACCGGAACAAAUGGUGGAGCGGUGAAAUGCGUAGAUAUCAUUUGGAACGCCAAUGGUGAAAACAGGUAGCUGGGAGUGUCGCCGACGCUGAGACACGAAAGCCAGGGGAGCGAACGGGAUUAGAUACCCCUGUAGU